rnacentral:rRNA from 1 species
UUGGUGCCUUAGUGGCGGACGGGUGAGUAACACGUGGGAAUCUACCCAGCAGUGUGGGAUAACUACUGGAAACGGUGGCUAAUACCGCAUACGCCCUUCGGGGGAAAGUUUUUUCGCUGUUGGAUGAGCCCGCGUCCGAUUAGCUAGUUGGUAGGGUAAAGGCCUACCAAGCCGACGAUCAGUAGCUGGUCUGAGAGGAUGAUCAGCCACACUGGGACUGAGAUACGGCCCAGACUCC